UUUGCCCGGUUUUCCGCUUUUUCGACACCGCUGGUUAGCGGGUAUAUGAGAACAAGGCGCAGCAACUUGUUUUUUUAGUAUCCAUUUUCACUUGCAGGAAAUUGGUGGUUUUGUAAUUAGUAUAAAACAUAGCGCGAUUUAGCAUCUCCCGGUUCUCUCUCUCACUAAAAACCCGAACUUCAUUUCUCUCUCUAAAGAAAGCGCUGCUUCUGCUCAAUAAGUCUACAGUGAUCCGCCAUGGCCUCUGUGACCUAGCCUUUCAUGCCUGAAUUUGUACGGAACUCAUAAGAUUCUGACUCUGACCUAAUUCAGGGCUCUCAUUUCUCUUUUGUGAGAAUAAGCCCUAGGAUGUCGUCUCUUUCCAGGGUUUAGUUUCUCCUUGAGAUAUCUUUCUUUCAUUGUUUUUUAAGGUGUUUAUUGGUUUCAGAUUAUCCAUAGCUUUCCCUUUCUUAAUUUAAGUGCUUCAGAAGAAAUUGUGUUUGAAUUGAGCCAGAGUUUGUUAUGGUAGAGUGACAUCUUGGUUCUACUCCAAUUUCUGGGGUCUUGUAUUGUGCUCUUGCCCUAGUAAAAUGUAUGCAGAUAAAUUCAAUCCUUUAGGUACCAAAAGAUCAGUUAAAGAUCGACUCGGCAAUGGCUAUGAUACCUAUGGAGCUGAAAAACGGCAGCGCCAAGAUGUUUCUGGCAAAAGCAUCCAGGAGGAAUCUCAACAUGCAUAUGGUAAAGCUACUGAUCAAGAUUUGAGAAGAAAGCUUUUGCAAAUGGAGGUUCCUCAAAGCUCUAAAAUCAAUAGUCAAAGUAAUGUAAGUGGAAUGCCUGAUAAAAGGUUGAGCACAACCAAGAAUCCAUUUUCAGAUGCCACCCCCACUGUUGCACCUGAUGUCAAGGGAAGAUCUGAUGCUGAGUUAAAGAAACCCACAGCUCAGAUUGCAUCUAAACCAGUUACCACAGAACACAAAAAGCAGGUUAUAGCCCAGGAGCUGACUGUGUCACUAUUCCUGAAAAGGCUCGGUUUGAGUAAAUAUGCCAUUACAUUUCAGGCAGAAGAGGUUGACAUGAUCGCUUUGAAGCAUAUGAAUGAAGCUGAUUUCAAGGAGAUGGGACUGCCCAUGGGGCCAAGAAAGAAGAUUCUUCUUGCUCUUUCUUCUUUAAAGGAGCCUGAUGUGAAAAAAUGAUGAUCUUCUUCCAUAUGUAACAUUGGCAAAUGCGGCCCGCUAUCAAAUUCACAACUUUUAUUCCAUUGCAGCAUUGAAGUCGAGAAGGAUGCAUCUGUUUGUAUUUAGCGCUCGUCAAUGAGUAUUAUAUUGGGCCAUUUUGUUUAGAGCUCGCUGCAUUUUGGCAUCUCAGUGGAAAGGAGAGGCCAUCAAUAUUCAUGGAAUAUAUCUUUCAGAUAUAGGCGUUUAAAUCAUGUGCUUUUAUCCCAGUGGUGUUCGCUGAUGGAACUUUUGGACAAAGUGUAUAUUUCACAAGAUGAAGAUGAUAUGUUAGUAUAAGAGAUUGAAGUGAUGGAAAUUUCUCAGUAAAAUCUUGCUACAAUUUGUUUUUUCAUGAUCGAUGGAGAUGGUCCUGCCCUAAUAUUGUCCAGAUUUGGAAAUGGCCAAUACCCCAUAAGGUUCAAGUAUUUGUUUGGCUGGCUGCAUAGGAUAAAAUUUUAACAAUUGAUAAUCUUCAGAAAAGGGGUACGAUUUUGCCAAACAUUUGUUUACUUUGUUAACAAGACAGGGAAUUAGUAGCUCAUCUUUUGAUCCAUUGCUCAUUUACUUCAAGAAUUUAGCAUUGGUUGAUGGACUUAGUAGGAGUCUCCCUAGUGUUGCCUCUUAGUUUGCUUGAUUUUAUUACACAAUUCACACUCCCCUUUUUUCCUAAAGCUAGUGGUACGAUAUGAAAAAUUGCAAAAGGGGUCAUUUUGUGGGAAGUUUGGAAGGAGAGAAAUAAGAGAACUUUUGAGGAUUCUGCUUUGCUGUUUGACAGGUUACUUCAUUUAAUCAAACUUUCUAUAUGGUGAAGUCUCUCUGUGGCAAAGGAGGGUUGGGGGAUUUCAAAAGUUGAUAUUAUGAUCAAUAUUUCUAAUCUACUUUCUCUUGAUGUGAGUAGAUGCCGGCCUAAGGGAUUGUGGUUUGCUCUGCCUAUGGGGUGUCAUAAGCUAAAUUUUGAUGGGAGCUCCUUAGGGAACCCGAGUCCAGCUGGGAUUGGUGGUGCUUUUCACGUUGGAAAUAUUUGUUUUAUCUUAUGCAUGACCAAUUGGUAUUGCUAUUGCUAAUUUUGCAGAAUUAAGUGCCUUGCUAAAAGGUGUGCAUAUUUUCAUUGAAAUGAGGUUGGGGAAUAUUUGUUUAAUUAAAGGUGACUCUCUUAAUGUUAUCAGGUGAUGCAAGAAAGAGCAGAAAAUACCAUGGGAACUUCGAUCUUUAUGGUUACAGGUUAUGGAUGCUUUUGUUUCUAUAUCUUUAUCUAUAUCUUUUUCCCAUGUCUACCGUGAAGCUAAUGGCGUUGCUGAUACAUUAGCUAAGGGUGUCAUCUCUCUUGGGUCUUUUACUGUU